rnacentral:rRNA from 1 species
GGUUGAUCCUGCCAGUAGUCAUAUGCUUGUCUCAAAGAUUAAGCCAUGCAUGUCUAAGUAUAAACAAGUUUGUACUGUGAAACUGCGAAUGGCUCAUUAAAUCAGUUAUAGUUUAUUUGAUGUUAAAUUGCUACAUGGAUAACUGUGGUAAUUCUAGAGCUAAUACAUGCAAUCAAGCCCCGACUUCCGGGAGGGGUGUAUUUAUUAGAUAAAAAACCAACGCGGCUCGCCGCUCUUUUGGUGAUUCAUAAUAACUUUUCGAAUCGCAUGGCCUUGUGCCGGCGAUGCUUCAU